rnacentral:sRNA from 3 species
GGGCUGGUGCACAGUGGCCAGUUUCAGAGCUAUGCUGGAAACAGCAUAGCAAGUUGAAAUAAGGCUAGUCCGUUAUCAACUUGAAAAAGUGGCACCGAGUCGGUGCUUUUUUU